AUUGAACGCUGGCGGCAGGCCUAACACAUGCAAGUCGAGCGGAUGAAGGGAGCUUGCUCCUGGAUUCAGCGGCGGACGGGUGAGUAAUGCCUAGGAAUCUGCCUGGUAGUGGGGGAUAACGUCCGGAAACGGGCGCUAAUACCGCAUACGUCCUGAGGGAGAAAGUGGGGGAUCUUCGGACCUCACGCUAUCAGAUGAGCCUAGGUCGGAUUAGCUAGUUGGUGGGGUAAAGGCCUACCAAGGCGACGAUCCGUAACUGGUCUGAGAGGAUGAUCAGUCACACUGGAACUGAGACCCGGUCCAGCCUCCUACGGGAGGCAGCAGUGGGGAAUAUUGGACAAUGGGCGAAAGCCUGAUCCAGCCAGGCCGCGUGGGUGAAGAAGGUCUUCGGAUUGUAAAGCACUUUAAGUUGGGAGGAAGGGCAGUAAGUUAAUACCUUGCUGUUUUGACGUGACCAACAGAAUAAGCACCGGCUAACUUCGU
rnacentral:rRNA from 1 species